GAUGAAGAACGCAGCGAAAUGCGAUAAGUAGUGUGAAUUGCAGAAUUCAGUGAAUCAUCGAAUCUUUGAACGCACAUUGCGCCCCUUGGUAUUCCAUGGGGCAUGCCUGUUCGAGCGUCAUUUGUACCUUCAAGCUUUGCUUGGUGUUGGGUGUUUGUCUCGCCUCUGCGUGUAGACUCGCCUUAAAACAAUUGGCAGCCGGCGUAUUGAUUUCGGAGCGCAGUACAUCUCGCGCUUUGCACUCAUAACGACGACGUCCAAAAGUACAUUUUUACACUCUUGACCUCGGAUCAGGUAGGGAUAGCCGCUGAACUUAAGCAUAUCAAUAAGCGGAGGA
rnacentral:misc_RNA from 1 species